rnacentral:rRNA from 1 species
UACGUAGGGUGCAAGCGUUGUCCGGAAUUAUUGGGCGUAAAGAGCUCGUAGGCGGUUCGUCGCGUCGGCUGUGAAAACCCGGAGCUCAACUCCGGGCCUGCAGUCGAUACGGGCGGACUUGAGUGUUGCAGGGGAGACUGGAAUUCCUGGUGUAGCGGUGAAAUGCGCAGAUAUCAGGAGGAACACCAGUGGCGAAGGCGACUACCUGGCCUGUUCUUGACGCUGAGGCGCGAAAGCUAGGGGAGCAAACGGG